rnacentral:piRNA from 1 species
GCAGCUUUCAGAUGUGGCUGUAA